ACCGAGUCAGCGAGCAGAAGACGAAGCCCAAGUUUCACGCGCGCGCUUAAUUCCCAUUUGAUAGAAAGGAACACUCGUAGUUCUCCACUGUGCGCGAGGAAACUUUAAAAAUUCGGAGUCUGCGCUGUGGUCGCCAUGGAUAUGGAGAGCGCCUCAUUCAUGAACCGAGCCGCAGUGGAGGAAUUUCAGAUCAUUAUUCCAGCUCCAUUGGACGAUGGUGCGGAGAAGGAAGGAUCUGAACGUGUCAAACCCAAGCUGUGACCACAAUUGUAGGAUUUUGUACAAAAACACAAGUGAAAGAGCUUUCCCUCCACGAGCCGGGGUCUCCACAGCUCUUUCCAGUAAAGGUCACGGCUGCCAGGAUUUCCUCGCCGCUUCCCAGCAGCCAUGAGGAGUAUCACAAGGCCCUGUAAUAACCUUCCCACAAAAAAAAAAAAAAAAAAAAAAAGAAAUCUCUCUUCUCCUGUUUUCAACACUGCUUGUUGACUCGGCUCCGCUAGUCCUGCGAUCAAUUUACGUCCCCUGUCAGAGCAGCGGGCCCAGGCUUACCGUAAAAUGCCCCCUCUCCUGGUGGACGCGCACGGCUGAACACGGGGGAAUAGGGAGUAGAGAGGGUUUGAUUUAUUAUUUUACACAGGAUUCCAUAUGCAUGAGCUCAUAUUUAAAACUAUCUGCGUCAAUAUCAUACACAGAAAAUAUGAUCAUUAUUUGUGCUUUCUAAGAAAUAACUCAAUAAUUUUUGACUCAAUGUCCAUUUCUGGCGUUGCGUCUCAUUAGCAUAUUAUAUAUUUGUCCACCCACCACACCCUCAAACAGACACUUGUGCAGCACCUGUGUUGAUAUGGCAACGAAGGUGUCGCAGACAGGGCGCAGGCAGUCCGAC
rnacentral:lncRNA from 1 species